CAACUUUCAGCAACGGAUCUCUUGGCUCUCGCAUCGAUGAAGAACGCAGCGAAAUGCGAUAAGUAAUGUGAAUUGCAGAAUUCAGUGAAUCAUCGAAUCUUUGAACGCACCUUGCGCUCCUUGGUAUUCCGAGGAGCAUGCCUGUUUGAGUGUCAUGG
rnacentral:rRNA from 76 species